AGUGGCGGACGGGUGAGUAACGCGUGAGCAUCUGCCUUCAGGAUGGGGACAACAGUUGGAAACGACUGCUAAUACCCAAUGUGCCUACGGGUGAAACCUUUUUUGGCCUGAAGAUGAGCUCGCGUCUGAUUAGCUAGUUGGUGGUGUAAUAGACUCACCAAGGCAACGAUCAGUAGCUGGUCUGAGAGGAUGAGCAGCCACACUGGGACUGAGACACGGCCCAGACUCCUACGGGAGGCAGCAGUGGGGAAUUUUCCGCAAUGGGCGAAAGCCUGACGGAGCAAUACCGCGUGAGGGAGGAAGGUUCUUGGAUUGUAAACCUCUUUUCUCAGGGAAGAAAAAAAUGACGGUACCUGAGGAAUAAGCAUCGGCUAACUCCGUGCCAGCAGCCGCGGUAAUACGGGGGAUGCAAGCGUUAUCCGGAAUUAUUGGGCGUAAAGAGUCCGUAGGUGGUCUCACAAGUCGACUGUCAAAGCCCGCAGCUUAACUGCGGAGAGGCGGUGGAAACUGUGAGACUAGAGUAUGGUAGGGGUAGAGGGAAUUCCCAGUGUAGCGGUGAAAUGCGUAGAUAUUGGGAAGAACACCGGUGGCGAAAGCGCUCUACUGGACCAUAACUGACACUGAGGGACGAAAGCCAAGGUAGCGAAAGGGAUUAGAUACCCC
rnacentral:rRNA from 1 species